UACGGGGGGGCAAGCGUUGUUCGGAAUUACUGGGCGUAAAGGGCGCGUAGGCGGCCUGCUAAGUCACACGUGAAAUCCCUCGGCGUCAACCGGGGAACUGCGUGUGAUACUGGCGGGCUUGAAUUCGGGAGAGGGAUGUGGAAUUCCAGGUGUAGCGGUGAAAUGCGCAGAUAUCAGGAGGAACACCGGUGGCGAAGGCGGGUCUCUGGGCAGUAACUGACGCUGAGAAGCGAAAGCGUGGGGAGCGAACAGG
rnacentral:rRNA from 1 species